rnacentral:rRNA from 1 species
AUGCUGAUUUGUUGCUUAGUAUUGGAAGCACAGGAAGUUCCUCACAUGUAUAUGUUCAUUAUCACCUACAAAAAUGUGUUACCUAUCCAAUGCUUACCUACAACCGGGUCAGGGCAGUGCUUGUCUCCUGACGCAACACUAUAUAACAACAGCAGUUCAUCAGCAAGAACAAUAGAAGUUGAACCGAAAUACGAAUCAACAAACCAAACCCAGCAAUGGACAGAUCAACUGCAUAGCACCCAAAUGAAUCUCGAAAAGAAUCAAUGGGCAAACCAAAGGGACAAGGAACUGAAGCCGCAUCUGCGUCGUGUGGCCGGCGGCCGCUGUCACUACCCCGUGGCAGACGAGGGGGCGGGGCAGAAGAGGUGA